rnacentral:rRNA from 1 species
AGCGAACGCUGGCGGCAGGCCUAACACAUGCAAGUCGAACGAACCUUUCGGGGUUAGUGGCGGACGGGUGAGUAACACGUGGGAACGUGCCUUUAGGUUCGGAAUAACUCAGGGAAACUUGUGCUAAUACCGAAUGUGCCCUUCGGGGGAAAGAUUUAUCGCCUUUAGAGCGGCCCGCGUCUGAUUAGCUAGUUGGUUGAGGUAAUGGCUCACCAAGGCGACGAUCAGUAGCUGGUCUGAGAGGAUGAUCAGCCACAUUGGGACUGAGACACGGCCCAAACUCCUACGGGAGGCAGCAGUGGGGAAUCUUGCGCAAUGGGCGAAAGCCUGACGCAGCCAUGCCGCGUGAGGGAUGACGGCCUUCGGGUUGUAAACCUCUUUCAGCAGGGAAGAAGCGAAAGUGACGGUACCUGCAGAAGAAGCACCGGCUAACUACGUG